rnacentral:rRNA from 1 species
AUUGAACGCUGGCGGCAGGCCUAACACAUGCAAGUCGAACGAGUAGCGGACGGGUGAGUAAUGUCUGGAAAACUGCCUGAUGGAGGGGUAUAACUACUGUAAACGGUAGCUAAUACCGCAUACCAUCAGAUGUGCCCAGAUGGGAUUAGCUAGUUGGUGGGGUAACGGCUCACCAAGGCGACGAUCCCUAGCUGGUCUGAGAGGAUGACCGGCCACACUGGAACUGAGACACGGUCCAGACUCCUACGGGAGGCAGCAGUGGGGAAUAUUGCACAAUGGGCGAAAGCCUGAUGCAGCCAUGCCGCGUGUAUGAAGAAGGCUUUCGGGUUGUAAAGUACUUUCAGCGGGGAGGCGUUACCCGAAGAAGAAGCACCGGCUAACUCCGUGCCAGCAGCCGCGGUAAUUC